ACAUGCUUCAGUGCUCUGGGAGUGUUUAUAGCCCUGUGAGUUUAACACUUCAUGACUGAGAGCUGUCCUUCAUGACAACAGAACCCACAACAACCAUGACCUUUAUCACCAUCUUCAUCUGGAUAUUUGCCCUCUGUCUCCAAGAGUCCAGAGGCCAGGUCACUGUGACUCAGACUCCUGCAGUGGAAACUGUUUCAGUGGGUCACUCAGUCAGUCUCAGCUGUAAGACCAGCAGUGCUGUAGACAGUGACAGCAAUGGACAGUGGUUGGCCUGGUAUCAACAGAAACCUGGAGGAGCUCCUAAACUCCUAAUAUACUAUGCUAAAACCCUUCAGUCUGGGACUCCAUCUAGAUUCAGUGGUAGUGGAACUCAUAGUGACUUCACUCUGACCAUCAGUGGAGUCCAGGCUGAAGAUGCAGGAGAUUACUACUGUCAGAGUUUCCACCACCCCAACAGUGUCUGGGUGUUCACAGAUACAAAAACCUCCCUCAGUCAGACUGUACUGCUACAGCUGGGACCUACUGCAGGUGCUGAGGGGGAUGACAGUGACAUGGAACACUGAUCAGUAGAGGAGGUCAACUUUGAAAAUGGUUAGAAAGUAUCAUUCAGAUCAUAUGUUCUCCAACGUCCUCAUCAUCAUCAUCAUCAUCAUGGUUGUAACUUGUUAUAUUGUCAUGAACUGAAAAUGUAUAUAAAAAUGUAUUAGAAGUUUUGGAACACAUUACCAGUCCAUUUGCAGAGUAAGAUCUACUGAAGUAAAAAGAAAAGUAAUGUUAAUUCAGCAUAGACAGGGCUGGGUGGUUCUGCUUGUCCCAGAAUAGAGCAGCACUGUCACCAGAUAUUCACUCUGUUCCCAGGGGGUUGGAGGUAGAGAAGACCAGGGGAAAUAUAAUGGUGAAGUGUAGACCACACAUUGUUGAAACCAUUGCUAAAAUAUCUAAUUUAAUAAAAUCAUAUUAGGAAUUAAACAUCAUAAAUGCAUAUGUUAUGGAAAGUAACUGUUUAGCACUGUGAGUUCUGAGAGCAGAUCUUAGAGGUUUAUUAUCAAAUAUCACUAAUUAUUAUCACUGGUAUUGGUGCUACAGUAUAACAGGAUUAUUCAGUUGUAGAAAUGAUUGCAGAGUAUUUGUUGGAUCAGAUGCCCUUUUAAUUCUGUUUGAAGACAUGAGAGUAGCUACAUGCUACAUGUAGGCAGGUAGCUUAGUGGGUAAGAGCGUUGUGCCAGUAACCGAAAGGUCGCUGGUUCUAAUCCC